rnacentral:tRNA from 1 species
GCAGGUGCGCAGGCCGCGGAUACUUCGCCUCGAAAGCGGGUACGCGGGUUCGAAUCCCGUCACCGGCU